rnacentral:rRNA from 1 species
GAUGAACGCUAGCUACAGGCUUAACACAUGCAAGUCGAGGGGUAACGAGAGGAAAGCUUGCUUUCCUUGUCGACGACCGGCGCACGGGUGAGUAACGCGUAUCCAACCUGCCCCCAACUAAGGAAUAACCUUGCGAAAGUAAGACUAAUACCUUAUAAUUUCCUCAGAUGUCAUCUGACGAGGAAUAAAGAUUUAUCGGUUGUGGAUGGGGAUGCGUCUGAUUAGCUUGUUGGCGGGGUAACGGCCCACCAAGGCAACGAUCAGUAGGGGUUCUGAGAGGAAGGUCCCCACAUUGGAACUGAGACACGGUCCAAACUCCUACGGGAGGCAGCAGUGAGGAAUAUUGAUCAAUGGGCGGAAGCCUGAACCAGCCAAGUAGCGUGCAGGAUGACGGCCCUAUGGGUUGUAAACUGCUUUUAUACAGGAAUAAAGUUAGCCACGUGUGGUUAUUUGUAGGUACUGUAUGAAUAAGGACCGGCUAAUUCCGUGCCAGCCGCCGCCGUAA